CAGGCUCCCAGCUCGAGUCAGGUACCUUCAGGCCAUGGAGAUGACGAGUUAAUUGACUGCUAAUUGGAAGGUGGAAGAAGAAAGAUAAACUACUGGUGCCACGAGCAAUCUGGAAUGCUCAGUGAUCAUGGCAAGAGGAAAUUGAAACUGGUGAGCUUACAGAGUCAAGUUUGUGUACCCAGCUGUCUCUCGAUAUGAAUCCAUCCACAGGAGCCUAUUCAGCCUAUCUAGCAUCACUCCCUUAAAGAAGAUCAACUCUCUCUCACCCAGCAGUGAUCAGCUGCCAAUAGUUCCUCAGCUAAGACUUUGAUGAACGCCUUCACAGCAGCUGCUCUCCCGCACAGUCAUUUGUGGAGAUUGUUUCUUCCCUCACUGGAACCUGGAGUAUUCUCUUUCGGAGACAGGCCUUCCUCUGAAUCACUGCUUUUGGUUGCACUCUUCUUAGAAUAUCUUUCAGGCCCAAAUUAUCUCAUGAUGGAUGUGAUUACCUGUUCCCUUAAGGACUGAAUAUCAUACUAGGCUUUUGAGACAAUCAACACAAUUAGGUGUAGGCUUUAUCUUCAUUUUAUGCUUUAUGUAAUAUGCGUCCAGCUUAUCUCCCCUCUAGCCUGGCAAUAUGAGCAGUCAGUUAGGCUCCAAGUAGGUUCAGUGGCUUCUAUUUCAGGAGCAGAACACAUGUUACAUCCAUUUCUGAGAGAAUGUGAGGCUUUCUGUAUGUUCCCCAACCCCAUAUAUAUUCUUCUGCAGGUAACAGGGGAUUGCUACAGCUUAGUGCUUACUAAGAAAUGAUCACCAUUUGGAAGGUCAGGCAAGGCUUCUCCAUUAACUCUCACACUGAAUGUGCACAAUCCUAGGUAUUAGGCUUAAAAGAAUAUUAUUAUAGUUAUUAUUGGAUGAAGAAACUGAGGCUCCAAGAUGAAAAAGUUUAUUAACCUUAGCAGAUGAGUAAGGGAUGGAUGUGCACUGGGAGACUGGGUCUUUGAUUCCUGGUCUAGGACCUGUUUUUUUUUUGUUUUUUUUUUUUCAUAAUGAACUGAUUUUAAUCAAAUACAAAAACAACGUGUAUAAGUAUUUUUAAAACCCCAAAAUGGUAAUAGCCUCAUUUGAAUGCAAAGGCAAACAACACAAUUAUAAGAAUAAAGUGAAGGCUUUUGAAA